ensembl:lncRNA
UAGAGUUGUGUCUGAAGGAGUCCCUGUGUAUGGGAGUCUCCAGUAAGCUCCUACUAGAUGUGACGGGAGCUCAAGUUUCAGACCUGGACUUCAGCUUCAGCCUGAACGACAGAGUUCAGAGCAGUUGUUCAGAUUCAUCUUCUGUGGGCAGCAUGAAAGAGAGCGACUCACCCGCGUCUGUGAGAGAUUCAAAGAGAAACGGCGAGCAAACAGGUCACACUCAGAGCUCUGCACCCUCCACCUCUGUGUGAAUCAGUUGAACUCAUAAUGCAAGUCUUAAAAUUAAUACUUCUUUAAUCAAAAACGCUGCCACAUAUUUCUGACUGGGAGAACUGGACACAAACUGGAUCCUGAGACGCACAGCCGUGUAAAUACAGUAUUACAGAAGUCGUGUGUCGGCAGACGUCUCGCUUCUUUUACUUUCAGUUGCUCUUGAUCAUUGACUUUCAGGUAGUGAAUCAAAGUUGGUUCAACGUCUCAGGCCCACACACACACAUCAGAAAGUAAAAAGAUGAAAUUAAAGUCAACAUGACAUCAAAAUUCCUGAAAAUGUGUUCACCCUCAAGCCAUCCGAGAUCAGGAUGAGUUUGUCUCUUCAUCAGGUUUGGAGAAAUGCAGCAUUGCAUCAGUGUCUCAGCAAUGGAUGCUCUGCAGUGAAUGGGUGCCGUCAGAAUGAGAGUCCAAACAGCUGAUAAAAACAUCACAAUAAUCCACACCACUCCAGUCCCAUCAGUUAACAUCUGGAGAAGACAAAAGCUGAGACACAUCCAGCAUUAAGACGAUUUUAACUCAAAUACCAUAGAAUUCAUAAUCCAUAAUAAAGCCCAUCUCUUAUAUCGAAAUCCAGCCAUGUGUUUGUUUAGAGCUGUUUUGGCUUGUCAAUGGUGCUUGAUCUGUGCAGAUUUCUCUCCUGAUUCAGACCAGAUGACGUAUUCUCCAGAUGUUAACUGAUGGACUG